UACGUAGGUGGCGAGCGUUGUCCGGAUUUACUGGGUGUAAAGGGCGUGUAGGCGGGAAGACAAGUCAGAUGUGAAAUACCGUGGCUUAACCACGGGGCUGCAUCUGAAACUGUUUUUCUUGAGUGUCGGAGAGGAAAGUGGAAUUCCCAGUGUAGCGGUGAAAUGCGUAGAUAUUGGGAGGAACACCAGUGGCGAAGGCGACUUUCUGGACGAUAACUGACGCUGAGGCGCGAAAGCGUGGGGAGCAAACAGG
rnacentral:rRNA from 1 species